AUCUUCUCAUGACUUCGAGUUUGCCCUGACCAGAUCAGAAGAAUGCUCCUUUAAGUACUAAGCGUCUAUUUAACAGGAAUAAUAAAAGUUUUAGGUUUGGUGUGGAAGAAGUUCUCUGACCAUGAAAAUUCCAUAUUAGCAACUCAUGGAGGCUUUGUAGAAAUAAAGAGCUUGUCCUGCAUUGUUUUAUGGAUACCUGGAUUUCAUUAACUUCAAGUUAAAACCUUACAGUUGGCAGCAUCACACUUGUGAUUCAAAACCAUCUUGCGUGUUGAAUUAAUUUCUCACCAGGAGGUAUAUUUGCUUGUUCCACAUGAGAAGAGUAUUUUAGACCAUGUUAGAUUGCAAGAAUUAAUAACAGAAGCAGUCAGACUCAUAUGCAAACUGUUAGAACUUUACUUAAAGUAAUUAGAAUAUGAAAGCUAUUGGACAGUAUUGGAGCACAGAUCUCUCCCCCCCUCCAAAAGAAAGCAUAGGACAUUCUUUUUAACAAUGCAAAAACAUACAUCUCUGUUAAAUACAUAAACAGCACUCAAUUUUAAUGCAACACGUACUUUUAUACCAUUGACCAUAGCAGUCAUUUAAAAAUGUACAAAGUUUUGCCUUCAUUGGUUUCUUAGAGUUACAGAAAACCCACAUGUUAAAGCAAAGUAAAUGUUCAUUAAAAACCAAACUGGUAGCUUUAGCAGGUGUACAACUUACAGAAAACAAUGCUUAUUUUGAAAGAAAUCAGUUGGAAUUCUGUAAGUAUGACAGAAAAUGAUGCAUGAGGUAACAUUUCUUUUAAAAUCUAGGAUCCCUGUACUAUAGUUCCAAAUAGUGCUCUGAUUUGACACAUACAGUCCUUGGAAAUUGACUUGUUUAAAUAGUCAAGGAUUGCUAUUAGGAACGCUGUUUUGUAUAAAGACUGCUUUAUCCUGAAAGACACUGAAAGAAUCUGAAUCUGAUAGUGAAAGAUAUUCGGAAAGAAAUGAAAAGCAAGCGAUACCUCUAAGGUGGAACAUCCAUCUGCCUAGUUCUCAGAUUUACCUUCAAAUUAUAAAAACAAACUGAAAAAGAAAAAAAAAAAAAAAAAAAAAAAAAGAAAAAGAAAAAAAAAAAAAAAAAAAAAAAAAAAAAGAAAAAAAAAAAAAAAAAAAAAAAAAAAAAAAAAAAAAAAAAAAAAAAAAAAAAAAAAAAAAAAAAAAAAAAAAAAAAAAAAAAAAAAAAAAAAAAAAAAAGGAAAAGGAAAAGGAAAAGGAAAAGGAAAAGGAAAAGCUUUUUCUUUAUGGAAAGUCAGCCUUAAUCCCAGUGCAAACACAGCAUUCCCUAAAAGGUGGCCAGCUAGUACUCUUGCCUCUUUCUGAGUUGCAAACCUUCUGAGAACAGAACAAAACUUUGUCCUACAGAAUACUGCAGGCCAGGGCGUCUAGGGUCUGGUGGGGAAAAGCACGAGGCCCCCAGACAUUCUCCCCUUCUUUCCUGAGCACAGGUCUUCAGAUGUUGUGCUGCCCUUUUUUAGGAUGCUGCUUCAAGACACUGCUCCCCACUCCCAAUUUUUGAAGUAUUUCCAUGAAACCAAAAACAAGUCAAUUUUAGAGAACCCAAAGGCACAAUUAGAACAUGCAAGUAUCAGUUUAAUAGGCAUUUAUGUGGCUCUGUUCCUUGCAGUAUCCAAGCAUUUUUCACAAGCAUUAAUAAAUCCUAUCAUGAGAGCAUGUCUUGGAGAUGGGAGAACCUGCUAUCCUUGUUAUUAUUACUUUACAACUGAUGCAGUCUUCAACCUCACACAAUGUGGUCAAAGCCAUCUUGAGCCUCUGUUCUGAAACUGCACCUCCUUUGAGAUACUUUCUAGGGGGUACUUCUAUUCAAUUUGGCUCUCCUCCAAGAUGAUUCCCUGCUGUGAAGACAAAAUAGUUCUCAUCUUCUGCUUUGCCCUUUAGGUUUUGCUCAGCUUUAGAGUUUCUUUCUGGAGUGACCUUGAGGCUUGCCCUGCUCAAAUAUGUGACGAUGAAGAGAGUAGAAUGCAUGAAGCUUUCUUCUUUUUCACUGCAAAAGGUGUGACAAAGUCUUUUGUGUUCCUAGCACUAUGAAGUUCAGUUCUAUCUAGCACCAGCAAUGCUGCUGGGAAACUUUAAAGGUGAGUGAACUUUCCACUGAAGAUGACAAAUGAAGGAGUCACAGUUCUGGCUGCCCACUAGUAUGGUCCUUGCAGGAUAAUGCCAAGUGUGUGGUGCUUCAAAAAGACAUCUCAGUCAUUCGUUAGCAGCCAUCUCUCUCCACUUACAUGGGCUCUGUCACUCAUUCCUCCAUACUCACUCACUCACUUAUACUCCUCCUCGGGCACUUCCAGAAACUUCCUAUCCAAUAUAGAUCCCGAAACAAGAGUUUCUCAAAGCUUAGGAAGGCUGCUAGGCUGUGCUGCCCAAGCACUGUUCAAACGCAUUUCAUCUGUCCCACCAAGAAUAGAGCCCUUGGUCUCCAGUGUGGAUUUCUGCCGCUCAUGGCAUUAAGAUGCUCUGCCAGCAUCACAGCACAAAUAACAAAAGCAGCACUGGGGGAUCUUACACUGGCUUCAGUCCCAGCUCCACGUCCAUCAACAACAGGCAAGGUCCAUUUUUUCCCCCUUGGAAGAGCGAGCUCUAGGGACGAUCGCUGCUGCCAGCUCAGUCGUAAUGGUGGAACGACAACCCAUCUGAGAGCAUCUUUCUAAAGGAGCUUUGUGCCUCCUGCCUCGGGUCACCCUCCCACUUGCCAGGCGAGCUCUGAGGUCCCAGCCAUGCCUGUGUCUCCCACCAAAAACCCGCUGUAGGCUCUCGGCUUCAAGAAAAAAGGUGGAGGCAGCAACAUCAAAAGCUGAUCUAAAAUAUCAGAACAGUGAGGCCUAUGUUAUGAAUGAUCAAAACUUGACAUGAUCUAAGCUUGACUGCCUUUAUGGUGGCGGUGGGAGAUACUGUUCAGUUUAAAAGCACAGGCUGAGUCCUCCCCUUGUGCGUUUGCUUUGUAAUAGUAUACAGAGUUUUGCAUGCAGAUUUUUAUUAAACCUAAAGGUGAAGCGCACUUCAAACUGUGUUAUUUUAAUAGUGAUUAGGUUUACUUAGAAAAGCUUGUUCAUGUCACCUACAAAAAUGCAUAUGCACCUUCAGCUUUUAGGAGCUUUUGCAAUUUUGAGGCAUUUGCAAGAUCUGUGGAUAAAAUCAGCUAAUCUAAGUAAUCAGCAAACUUACUGCCUCUAGCAUACUAAUUGUUUCAUUACAAUUUAGGAAGGACUUUUUUCAUUUAUUGUAAUAGGGCACAAAAGCAGAGUUACAUUAGUGCCGUCUUGGAGAGCAAACUAAAAAGUUCAUGCUCUGCUGUUUUCUGUGUGUGUACACAUACUCUGCUUUCCACCCAGGCAGUAUACUCAUUAAAAGGGAAUGCAUUUUUUUUUUCAAUUUUUGUUUUGUUUUUGUUUCUCUUGUGUUUUUGCUGAAUUAUGGAUAAAGCUGUUGCUUCAAUUUUAAAAUACAUCCUUUCUUAAGAAGGGAUUUAUAUGCUCUCAUUUGUAGUAUUUAAGUAUUUACUCUGCAUUACCUUGAUUACAAAGGGGAGUUACCAGAAAGGAUAGCUUUUUUUUUGUUGUGCUGAAUGAUGCACAUGAAAAGAGGGAUAGGAGGAAACAUGAUAUAUGCAGCUGCUUGCUGGUUUCAGGCUUUUGUACUUAGAGAGUUAAUUGUAAAAGUGCAGUGCAGUACUCAAAUAUUUUGUCUGCAUAUACAAUAGCUUAUUUUUGCUCUGCCCUCACUGUGGGCUCCCACAGGGUAGGAGGGUACUUUAAAGCUGGCUCUACAAUAUGAAAGUUUUGUCAUCUGCAAAAGAAUCUGUGAAGCUCAGAUUUUGGCUUAGCUAUCUGCAUUGUAGAGCCCUAGUGGGCACAGUUUCUCAGCUCUGAACUGAAACCCUAAAAAAAAAAAAAAAAAAAAAAAAAAAGUCCCUUAAGAUGAAGGGACCUUCCUAGGUUCCUAACUGAACCAGGGAACAAAUUAGGUCAGAAGGCAAUGGCAGGUAGUCCUCUAUCUAACCCCAAGGCAGGGUCAUUUUAGAUAUUGGAUCAAGUUGCUCAAGUCCAGUUGAAUUUUAAACUUAACAGAGUGUCUCUGUUAAUUGGUCUCUCCAACUCAUCAGGGCUAUAUUUUUAGGUUUGAAAUACAUGAUACUUGCCAUUGCUUCAAACUAUUGCAGGCUGUAGUGCUAGCUUUGCUGUAAGAGUUGGGAUCCCAGUGCUAUGAAAUCAUGAGGAAGACAAAAAGUGGCCCAAGUUAAGUAGUGAACUUGAAUUAAUUCUGUUAAUUCUUGAUUUUAAAUAAAGACCACCCCCAAUUCCUUCUGUUUCUUGACUCUCCUUUUCAGCUUAGCAAAUGAAAAAACAGUUCAUCAACAAAGUUUUGUUUUAAGCUACUUUUUAAUCACUGCGUUACUUGACAUUCAGCAUGAAGAUUACAUAUUUCUUCUCAAAACACCAAUAGGCAAAAUAAACCUAGCAGGAGCCUUCAGAAAGAAAUAAGGGAAAGUCUGAAGAUGCUGAACUGGGAAUGAGAAAAAAAUGAUGAGGUAAAACUAACAAGUUGAUAUGAGCAGUGACAAGGUUUGGUAAUGCCAAGGAAAAUUUUCCCCUCAAGGUUGCAAAGACAAAAAAGCACCUAAAAAUAUACCACAGUCUUUUUGUUCUACUGACUGAGCACAAAUACCUUGGUUAUGACAUGUUGAGAUGUAAGAUCCCUCUUUAACCAUACAAUUAACUUGCACAAGCAGCAGAAAAAGUGCCCUUCUGCUUGCGUACGUGAUCCAAGCUGAGGUUAAAGCUCAGCUCUCUGCCCCUGUAUUUUGUCUUUGGCCUUUUUGUUCAGAAUGUGCAAAUUAUUGAGAAGUCUGGCAAUGAUUUUGCUGACGAGUGGAUCUGUGCACUGAAAUGUGAACUUGCAUCUCUGAUGUAAACCCACACAAGCUGCCCCCAAAUUACCCGAGCCCCAGCUCCCUAGGCAGCCUGCAUCCUCCCUCUGCUCUGCCACACUCUUGUAGGUUAAGCCCAUGCUUGGCCUGAGCUUGUUGCUGAGCUAACUAACGUAUGUGCCUCAUAUCAUGAGGCUGCACCAGCAGGCAGUCCCAUAAAGUGUGCUGCUGCACAUUUGCAGAGCAAGCACAGAGGCCACCCUCCUGUGAGCACCCAGCAGGAGGCCAAAAAGUGCCUGCCUGCCCUGGCGCUGCUUGAGGGACCUUACUGUGGCUUGCAAAUACGGCAUUCUGCACAUACGUAUAGUUAGGCUGGUAUUUGGGAAAUACCAAACACCAAAACUGUGAUGAUUUUCUCUUUGUUUAACCAAUGUUUGUGUGACAUCUGCCCAGUUGCCCACUUACUGCCAGCUACUCAGAUCCAGUAAGCAGUGUAAAGCCUCCUCUUUGCAUGUCAUAAAAUCUGCAUAUUGGUUUAUUUCUGCUUGAAUAAUCUUCUAAGAUGUUUUCAUACUCCACUGAGGACUCCUCCACUCUCAGAAACCAAAAUACUUAAAAGCUGUGUCUUAUUUACACAUUACUUCUCACCCUUCGGUUCCUCUCUAGUGCAGUUAAAUGGCAGUAGUCACUGCUCUGCUAUUUUCUGCUGAUUGUGUUCCACACCAUGCUGUUGUCUUUAGGCUGGAUAUACCAUAUCCAUAAGCUUUUCCAUGUUUCCCCCUUCUUUCCAAUUUCAGCUUACUGACUGAAAUCCUGCUUUAUCUUACUGGUAUCGUGCCUGUUGAAAGGUUGUUUAAUUUACUCUUUCAUGUAGCUUGAAACUGCAAUUUUUCACACAGCCUAGUGUUAGUCCUUCAUUAAGAUGUUUAUGCUUGAAUCUUUGUUCCAACAAACUAUAUACAGCCAGUAAUAAAAUAUGUGCAUAAAACUCUCAUACACACAUAUACAUACGCUUAUAUAUAUAAUAUAUAUAUAUACAUAUAUAUGCAUGGCUUUCUAAGACACUAAUGGCUACUGAAACUAUGCUCAGGUAACACCCAGCUGCACUCAAAUCCCUGCCAAUUGCACCAGGUCCACACAACCCCAGUGGGAGACGGAGUCAGUGCUGCUGCCUUUCCAGUCCCCAUCCUGUCCUGCAUUUUGCCGAGGACCCAUCUGCAGGCAGCAUGGGUGCAGGAUGCCCCUCGAUGCCCUGGUCCCCACAGCAUCGUGCCUCGCAGCCCAGUGCAUGGCUGUGCCUGCUCUGAGUGCACCGGCCUGAAAGCAUCCUUUCACCCUUUUUAAGCAUGAGGCGCCAGCCCACAAAAAAAGGAGCUCUCCCCGUCAAAAGACUCCUGUCCGUGCGCCAUGGCCUGUCCUGAAUGCGCUGCAUUCAGCAGCUCACCCUCUGUCUCCAGCUGCUGUCUGUCUGUCUGCUGCGAUUCGGCAAAAACCAGGCAAGCGCCAGGUAUAAAUCUCUCCCAGUCAAAGGAAAUAUUUAGCAGCAAAAAUGAGUAGGAAACAAAAGACUUCUCUGUUACUCACCCAAUCUUCUCACCCAGUGUAGCUCUAACUAAGGAGCAGGCAACUUAGCGCUCUCUCCCCGGGCGGCCGUGCAAGAGGGACGGGGAUGCCUGGGAGCCAGCUGAUGCACCCGCAUGGCCUCAAGCACUGGCCAGGACAUGCAGAGCCUGUUUCAUCAAGUCCAUCGCUUGAUUGAAACAACCAUGCAUAAACAUACAAAUAUGUUGUUUGUGAACAAAGUCUUACAAACUUUGGGCACCAGGAGAAGCAAGGAACAGAUUCAAUCUGCAGCCAACUGAGACAGAAGGAACGCCAGUUUGCCAAUCAGGGGUAAUGACUUACACCCAGCUGGUAUGCAGGCAUCCCUCCUCAGCUGUUGCAAAAUACAGUCCCACCCCCAGUCAGCAGAGUCAGUGCUGAUAAAUGGCUUCAAAGAGCACUUCUGACACAGCAGCUGGUGGGUAAAGACCAUGGUGAUUCCUAGCCUCAAGAACAAGCAGUUUCAGGAGCCAUUCAUGCAGAAUAGACUCUUUGUGUGAAACCUGAACAAUCAUGAAGAAGACAUCAGUCUCCACUUCACUGAACCAAACAGAAAUCCUUUGUUCCAGAACAAAAGCUCACUGCGGUACCACAGAUGGGACAAGGCCCUUGGCUUGCUCGUGAGGAUUUUAUAAAGUCAGCUUCUGGUGGUCCAACAUCUUCCUGAAUACGCAGGAAUGCUUCUGUUCAUGUCUGAAAUGAUCUUUACUGAAGCAGGAACUAAACCUGACUGAAAAGAUCUGGUGCUACUCCCUCAAUCAUGACUCAUAAAUUCAUGAAAAAAUGAGACUUUGUUAACUUCAGUCAACUUGGAAGUACUUGUUCAGCUGCUGGGCUCUCUUGCACCUUCACUGCACAAAGACUACAGCUUUGGCUCUCUCUUUAGCAUUAAGUAUCUUCAUAUCUUCCUUCCCUCCACCUUUCCCAAUUCCUCACUUGGCCCUAGUGGGCUAUCUUCUGAAUGUCUAACAUCAGUCAUCUACACAAGAGUGGAGAUGGACAAGUGGGAAGGUUUCAACACUGCAUACAGGUUAGGAGUAAAGCACUAAAAAGGAAGAACGCCUAAAAUAAGGACCUCAGCAACCAUGGCUUUGUUCUGAAAAUGCUUUCUUCAGGUUGUGAACUGAAAAAACAGCAUUAGGAGCCUGGAAUAUAUGUAACUAUUAAAAUGAUGGAAGUUGCAAUAACUGGGCAAUUUUCUCUGGUAGUAACCCUCUGCCAAACACAGAGGAAAACUGUGGCAUGAGCCUCAAGGAAAUAGAAACAGUAGCCCUUGUACCCCUUUCACAGCACCUGAAUCACUUGAAACCACAGGGAUGAGGCAUCAGAUACUUGGCUGAAGGACUUUUGUGUGAGAAGGAUGAAGGAAUGGAGUAAAAGCCCUGACAGUCCCUUGCAUUGGUCAGAAUUUGCAAAUCACUUUGCUCUACUCCAGGUUGAUCUUUACCAAACCUAAUCAAUUGUGUACAUGGAAACUUCCUCACUCUGCAAAAAUGCAUGAAGGUGAGGGCAUAAAUUCCAGCAUUUCUGUUUCUUCUUGGUAUCUGACAGUCUAAUACAGAUUUCAUAAAAAGAGUGGUAACUGAAUUUAUUUUCUUUAGGAAAGGGAAAAAACCAUUUUUUUUUGAAAGUAUGUUUCACAUACACUGCUUGUAGCAAAUACUAUUUUAAAAUACUUCUUUGCACACCCUCUGGCUACAGUGAUGAUGCCUGAGGCAGCUAAAAAUUAAAGCUAAUCUCCUGAGAGGUCCUGAAUGCAAUUUACUGUCUCUCAGCCUUGAAAUAAGACCUUUCAGGUGUUUCGUCUUCAAAGCUGAAAGAAAGCGAAGUUCAUAAUGCUUUUGUGGGUAUCGUGACUCAUUAAAUGCAUUCACAAUGGCUAAAUGUCAGUCUGUGCGGGAUUCCAGACAUCGAGCACCAAGAGAUGCAUACUGCAGGGAACUGCAGUGCAGUUGUAUUGAAUUAUGGAGUCAUAGAAUCAUAGAAUAUCCCGAGUUGGAGGGACCCAUAAGGAUCAUCGAAUCCAACUCCUGGCACCACACAGGUCUGCCCAAAAAUUCAGACCAUGUGACUAAGUGCACAGUUCAAACGCUUCUUAAACUCCGACAGGCUUGGUGCAGUGACUGCUUCCCUGGGGAGCCUGUUCCAGUGCGCGACAACCCUCUCAGUGAAGAACCUUUUCCUGAUAUCCAGCCUGAACCUCCCCCGCCUCAGCUUGACACCAUUCCUGCGGGUCCUAUCACUGGUGAUUAAGGAGAAUAGAUCGGCGCCUGCCCCUCCACUCCCCCUCGUGAGGAAGCUGUAGGCCGCGAUGAGGUCUCCCCUCAGCCUUCUCUUUUACAGGCUGAACAGGCCAAGUGACCUCAGCCGCUCCUCAUACGUAUUCCCUUCUAGGCCCUUCACCAUCUUUGUAGCCCUUCCCUGGACAGUCUCCAACAGUUUAAUGUCCUUUUUGUACUGUGGUGCCCAGAACUGCACACAGCAGUUCUCCAACUAUGGACACUCCUCUUCUGCCUCCACGAGGUUUCAUGAGUAAAACUUUUACAUGUUCCUUGGUGUUUCUUGAUAUGCAAACUUAAAUCACGUUGCCAGUAACACAAGCUAAGGAUGCCUAGUAAGACACCAGUCAGUCUCACUGCAGAGACACAAACAGCUUUAAUUCCUGUCCUUUACCAACAAUUGCUUUAUGUUUCACAGUUUAGCAGGAAAACGUAGCUGGAAACGUCAAAUACACCUGUUUCUUACAUAUACAAGAACCCUACUCUGUAUAAUUCAUAAUGUGAAAAAUAAAAGGUAAAAGCAGAAAGUGAUACGAAAUGGCGUAUUUAUUAAACUACAGAUUGAAAAUUUGAGAAAACUGAGAACCAGGUAGUUCUUGGUGCACCUCACAGGAAAAGAUCAGCUGCAAGACUGAUGCCUGGGAAUUCAACUGGAAAUUAAAUGUCUAUUAAUAAAAAAAAUCUGGUAUAUGCAAAGCAUCAGAGUGGGAACUUGUCAAUAAGGCAAUACUACUGCAGUGAUAUACUGAGUUGGUAUGAGCCCACUGAGUUCACCCACGUGGGCUCCAAUUUUAUCUGUCAGUGCCUACGUUUUAGCGGCUGGUGAAGUCUUGCUGAUCAAGGACAGUGGAGUCAGCAGAUGGCAUCCACUUGGCACUCCACAGUUCCUAGAUCAGCAAAACCAUAUCCAAAGAAGAGGACAAAAAGUUCGGCAUCUGGAGUUUCCCUUUAAACAAGACAAGGCUUCUCAGCCUGAAUGAAACAUGGCUGCUUCUCUUCCACAGCAAUUGGUUCCAAAUCUUUCAGAAUUAAGAGAGAAGCAGAAAGCAGCAACUACUGAGUCCUGUAUUCUGUACUUUAAUUCUUUUAUGUAAGGAUUUUUUUUUUUGUAACGCUGACUUCCUUAUUCUUGAUUAGGGUUUUCUUCUUGUCUCCUAGGUGCUUGUUGCUUAAUUAUGAUAACCAAGCAGAUGAUGACUGGAGAUUAGUCAAAUGAUGGGACAGUCCACAAUAAACUGUCAUCAAAUGGCACAGAGAAUUUCUUUCUCCCCUCUUCAGAGCUGAAACUGCAUUAUCCCAUCAUAGGGACCCAGCAAAAGAAAUCCUGUGGAGCCCCUUCUGCUGUUUUAAAGGGUCUCUCUAUUGGAUCUUGCAAUAUCAGUUAAAGACCCUGCGGUCCCCAGAGGUCUGUCCCAUUUUUCUGUUCAUGGGCAGGGUGGAAAUAAGAGAUGCACAGGCAAACAUGUUAAAUGUUGCAUUUUAAAACCUCUGAUAGCUAUGUCAUAAUAUCAUAAUAUUUAUACUUAUAAUUGUAUAUAACUACAAUUCUACAUAUAAUUAUAUUGUAUAAUUGUAUAUAACUUCAUUCUACAUAUAAUUAUAUAUGUGAAAUACAUAUUUAUAAUUAUAUGCACUAUAUGUUACAUUAUAUAUAAAAUAAAGAGAAGUACCAGCUGAUGGCAGUUUAUGCUGCUAUGCUACCAGUUGUGAGCACUAGAGAGCUGACACAAUGCCUGCUUGCUGCUCUUCCUAAGGGGCUCCUAACUUCCAGCAAAUGAAAGAAAUAGACAGUUGCCAAUAGUAACUCCUUAAAUUAUAGAUGCUGAUCAGCAAGAGCCCUUAGAAAUCAAUAAGCAUUUUUCCCCUGCCAAAAGACUAAUCUCAGAUAUGAAUCUAAAUAUUACAUUCUUUUUACAGAAAUAAUGAAAUAUUUUAUUCUAGAAUACAAAAAAGGUGGCCUAGUAUAUGAUGUAGAAUGUAAUAUUGAAAGUAUUAUGUUUUAAAGCUAUUAUUAGACUCCUCAAGUACGAACAAACCUGGCUGUUCAAACAAAAGGUGACAUCUUGACAUAUGUUGAUACACACAUCUUCAGCUCUCAGGCCCAAGCAUAUGAGCCAGUGAACUGACUAGCCGUUUGCUCCUAAGUAUACUAAAUUUAAACUUCCACAACAAUUUAAAUCUAAUGCAGGUUACCUAUCAUUUGAAUUUGGUUGUCAUGACUCAACUGCUGCACAUCAAUUUGUACAGCUUAAGUGUCUGAGCCUUCAUGUUAGUUGAAACUUCAUGGCAAUUUUUUCCAAAAUAAAAAAUGUAUUUAA